rnacentral:rRNA from 1 species
GACGAACGCUGGCGGCGUGCUUAACACAUGCAAGUCGAGCGGUAAGGCCCUUUCGGGGGUACACGAGCGGCGAACGGGUGAGUAACACGUGGGUGACCUGCCCUUAGCUCUGGGAUAAGCCUGGGAAACUGGGUCUAAUACCGGAUAUGACUCCAUGACGCAUGUUGUGGGGUGGAAAGCCUUGUGCGGCUAGGGAUGGGCCCGCGGCCUAUCAGCUUGUUGGUGGGGUGAUGGCCUACC